GACGAACGCUGGCGGCGUGCCUAAUACAUGCAAGUCGAGCGAAUCUCGAGGAGCUUGCUCCUUGAGAUUAGCGGCGGACGGGUGAGUAACACGUGGGCAACCUGCCUGUAAGACUGGGAUAACACCGGGAAACCGGUGCUAAUACCGGAUAAUUCUUCUCCUCACAUGAGGGGAAGCUGAAAGUCGGUUUCGGCUGACACUUACAGAUGGGCCCGCGGCGCAUUAGCUAGUUGGUGAGGUAACGGCUCACCAAGGCGACGAUGCGUAGCCGACCUGAGAGGGUGAUCGGCCACACUGGGACUGAGACACGGCCCAGACUCCUACGGGAGGCAGCAGUAGGGAAUCUUCCGCAAUGGACGAAAGUCUGACGGAGCAACGCCGCGUGAGUGAUGAAGGCCUUCGGGUCGUAAAACUCUGUUGUUAGGGAAGAACAAGUAUCGGAGUAACUGCCGGUACCUUGACGGUACCUAACCAGAAAGCCACGGCUAACUACGUGCCAGCCGCCGCGGUAA
rnacentral:rRNA from 1 species